GUGGUGGUCCUGUUCUUGGCUACAGCUCUGGACAAUGUGCUGUAGCCUAGGCUUCCACGCAGAGCAAAGUUGGUUCCUGCCGACAGGCCCUUUCCAGGUAUUAGGUUGCCUGUGCGAUGGUUCCAUACACA
ensembl:scaRNA SCARNA14 small Cajal body-specific RNA 14